GACAGAGGGUGCAAACGUUGUUCGGAAUUACUGGGCGUAAAGCGUGUGUAGGCGGCUAGGUAAGUCGGAUGUGAAAGCCCCGGGCUCAACUCGGGAAGUGCACUCGAUACUGCUUAGCUCGAGUACCGGAGAGGUUGGUGGAAUUCUCGGUGUAGAGGUGAAAUUCGUAGAUAUCGAGAGGAACACCGGUGGCGAAGGCGGCCAACUGGACGAGUACUGACGCUGAGGAGCGAAAGCGUGGGGAGCGAACAGG
rnacentral:rRNA from 1 species